CUUCCUACUCCAGCAUCUUUAUAAAUGCUCUAUUCAACUUGGCAAGGUGCUUAGAGGGAUAAUUUAAUGGAAAUUUGCAUACCUAAGUAAACCUAUCAUACAACUACCGUUUCUUGCAGCCAAAAUUAUAUACCAAAGAUGAUUCCCAAGCCUCUAAAGAUUGUCCACAGUUCGAAAUCUUCUACAUAAUAUCAUAUUCAUUACUUUGUUGCCAACUCCGUAUUAUCUUGUCGUUGAUAGUGGGUUCCAUUAGACAAGCAUUCUCAAACUUAAACGAUCUUAUGGGAUGUCUUUUGGGUAAGUAAUCACAUAAAAGAAGAAUCGGGGAAUGAUCCGAAAUAGGGGCAUAUACAUUUUCCUAUCCUGCAUUCAGAAACAUUUUAGACCAUGCUUCAUUCACCACAUAUCUGUCAAUCCAUUCCUGUAUUUUCUGAGUAGCCCAUCCCCUAGUCUAAGUAAAACCAUAUCCAAAGAGAGGCAUAUAUGCUAAGUUACACCGGCCAAGAAUUUCUUGGAAACCCUUCAUAAGAGAGAAUGAUGGGGUCGUUCCCCCCUCCUUGUCAAACACAGAAAGAACGUCAUUAAAGUUGUAACACCCAAAGAUUUUUCUUU
rnacentral:lncRNA from 1 species